GACGAACGCUGGCGGCGUGCCUAAUACAUGCAAGUCGAACGAAGCUGUUUUAACUGGUGCUUGCACCGACUUAAACAACUGAGUGGCGAACGGGUGAGUAACACGUGGGUAACCUGCCCCAAAGCGGGGGAUAACAUUUGGAAACAGAUGCUAAUACCGCAUAACCACAGAAACCACAUGGUUUCUGUGUCAAAGAUGGUUUCGGCUAUCACUUUGGGAUGGACCCGCGGCGUAUCAGCUAGUUGGUAAGGUAAUGGCUUACCAAGGCAAUGAUACGUAGCCGAGCUGAGAGGUUGAUCGGCCACAUUGGGACUGAGACACGGCCCAAACUCCUACGGGAGGCAGCAGUAGGGAAUCUUCCACAAUGGACGAAAGUCUGAUGGAGCAACGCCGCGUGAGUGAAGAAGGUUUUCGGAUCGUAAAACUCUGUUGUCAGAGAAGAACGUGUGCGAGAGUAACUGUUCGUGCAGUGACGGUAUCUGGCCAGAAAGCCACGGCUAACUACGUGCCAGCCGCCGCGGUAA
rnacentral:rRNA from 1 species